GCUGGAAGGGAAUUAGCCUAAGCACAAGGGAUGGUGAAAGGAGUGACCUCUAAUGCAUUCCACUGGGCUGGACUGAGCCAGCGCUGCAGUCAGAGAAGGGAGACUCUUAGCGGAGCUGGGCCCCUUGGUUUUUGUUUGAGAAAUACUGAGUAAAUGUUUAAUCCCCAUUUCUGUCACUUUCCUGAGCUCCAAUCCUGGCAUGCUUGUUCACUCGUCCUACUUUGCCUGGUGUCCCAGAGACUGUGAAAAUGAACUCCUAUUGUUCUUCUAAUAGGAUGGAUACAGUAUAGCCCUGUGACUGUGGGCAUAGGAGGAGGAGAUGGUUUCAUUGGAGAACCAAUGGCCUUAUAAUGGGGUAGAAUAUUAAACCAAGAAGUGACAACAGACUAAUCUGCAUCUGUUCCAUAUUAACAGCUGUAAUAAGUGUUUAAAAAACUUACCCUGAACUAUAGAGAGAAAUUAACUAAAGGAGGCAGUGAAGGACAGUGAUUUAAUAUCCAGGAGCAGGAAGCAGGAGCCAUGGGCUAAGGCUUUCCAAAGCAACUAGUGAGCUGGAGUGCCUCUUUCCUUAGUGGCACCCAGUUUAAGAUUUUGAAGUUGCUUCAUUGUCUCAGGGUGGGCUCCCACGCCAGCCAUCUCUCCAACUCUGGCUGUGUACUGUCUUCACAUCUUCCACUGAAGUGCCAUGUCAUCUGAAGAGAGUCAUACCCUCUGUCUGUCUCCUCUUUAAAAUGGAGCUGAGGCCCUCCUGUGCCCAUCAGUGGCUGCAGGAAUGGAUUCUUCUUUCCUUUUAAUAGGAUGGUGGUGUUUGCAUGAUGAUGAACCAAAGGCACAGCUGCCACAUCAGCAUGAACCAGGCAGUGCCCUUUGCUGCUACAAAAGAUGCCACCCUCCUGAUUGAAGCUUAGAAGGAAGAAGUUAUUGGGAACUCCUGUGCUAUGCACUAUGUGUUGCCUCAGGACAAUAAGGAAGGACUCCAAACUGCCUGGAAUAAGGUUACUCAGGAUGCGUAUCCACCAGAGUAAAGAAACAGGCAGCAGGAAAGGGAGAAUCCUUGUAUCUCAGAAGUUUAGUGAAUCACCAAAGGGAAGACCUUAAAAUGGACUUCAGUGGUGAAUGGAGUUAGUUUAAUACAUCACUAAUAACAUUAUUAAAAGGCUCAUCUUCUAAUUAUAAACGCCAUGGUAUAUUUUUCAGUCUUAAAUUGAAAAAUCCCCUGCAUUAUAUACAAUUUAAAACACUGUUUAGAACUUAUACUUCAGGAUUACAAACAUAGACAAAAAUCACUAGCUAUUGUGAAUCUGUGCCUAAAAACAGAGGACUAAUUGCUUAAGAGUUGAACAAGCCAGAUAGAUUCUGCCUACCAUUAUGCCCCUGUCAACCUACUGACUUCAAAAAAAGUUUGUGGGACUGCAUGGACAUAAGAAGACAACUUUUGAUUUCUUUCCUCAGCUAGCAUAAUGGAAAUUCAGAGAUCAGAGGCAGAUGUCAAGCCACGUCUUUGAAGAGUGUAUUCAUAUCUCUAUUUUGAAACAUUUCUGUUUGGGCAACACAAAUGCAGGAUGUCUGCCGUGCCAGAGUUUAGUCAGACACAUUUUGGCAUACUGCAUAAAGAUGGAAAAACUGUUCAGAAUUUAUCAUGAUUUUACAACAACCAGCUUAAUAUCCAAAAACACUGGUGCUGGAGCAAGAUCAGUUUUAAUAUCCAUAAUUCUACUUAGUAAUCUUCAGACUAAAGCUCCCAAAAGAGCACAUUCCAUACAAAAAAGUAACACUAUGGGAUUUAUCUAAUAAAGCACAGUUUGGCACAAGGUAUUACUGAGAUACCUUUUAUUUGUCAAAUACCACAGGCAAGGUUCUGCCCUCUGUUACGCUUAGCCUUGCAGCCUUCAUUCACACUGACUCUGCUGAGGGCAAAGUCUGGCAGUGUAUUUACACAAGAAUUUAAAUAGGUAGACAGAUAUCAGGACUGUAUCAGGAAUAGAGGUUUUAUGAAUCAUCUCCCACUGUCUUAAUUUCCCAAGAGAUUCCCUGUUGUAAAUUUUCCAAAAAAUCUUCCAGUAACCAAAGAUUAAUUACUUCUUUUUCACCUACUACCUUUAUACAGCUUCUUAAUAAGAUGAAGUAAUUUACUCCUCUGUGCAACUUGGUUGGGGAGUUGUUCAUUAACUCUAAUUUUGGCAUUCCAGACAGAUAAGACGGCAUAAAGGUUAAUGUGCUCAUCUCACACAAUUGAUAUUAAACAACUAAUUCAGUUUGAGUUCAGUCCUCCAUAUCCUAUUUAACAGUCUCCCACUCACUUCCAUAUGCAGAAGACUUGCAAAAUCAAACCAGUUAAUUGUUAAAUAUGCAUGCACUGAUAUUUACAAUAUGGUGUAACUAGUCAAUUCAGUAUAUGAAAGUUAACAUAAAAUUUUGUCCAGAUCCAGCUUAUGGGUGACCAUGACUAAAAGUUUUGGACUGUCAGAAAGAAAUAACUAAAAACAAAUGGUCUUUUUUUAAAGCACAAUAUGCAUUUAAAAAAUAACCUAGGAGUAAAAAAAAUAAAACUCUGCAAUCCAAAAAUAAACUCUCCAAAGAACUGCCUUGAAGCUUACUGUAGAUGUAGAGAUCCAACAACUGAAAAUAAAUAGUAAAAAAUCUGCAUUUUUAUAAUUAACCAUGAAUGAGUUCAGUAUCAACAUCAUUUGAAGAAUUUUAGUAUCCUUAUUUCACAUGCAGAGAAACUAAGGAAGAGGGCCCAGCACUGAUAGAUGUUAAAGUCAAGGAACUUGAACAAGUGAGUUCAAAACUCAGGCAAGUGAUUUAAAGAAGUCAACUGAAAGUCUGGUAAAACUAAAAAUACACCCUCGGUUUCUCGAAUCUCCUAGGCCUAGGUCUUAAUGAGGACACCAUUCUUCAUCCUCUGUGCCAGUGUCAAGUCCAACACCACCCCAAAUGGUCUAUUUAAAUGAACAAGACACAUUCCACACCAAAGACAGCAGAGUUUGAAUGUAAUAUAAACACAGACAAGAUAAGACAAAGGAAAACUGUGCAUUUAAGGAAAGGCAUGGAAACGUUAUCUGGAAGAAUACAACAGGGACUGUUGGAAGGAAUUGCUUCUAAGAAAACUUUUGCAAAAAGAUGAGGAUUUAAAGAAUGGUUCCAAGCAGAAAAGGCAGCAUGAAAGACAAUGUGAAGAUGGAAGUAAGAAACCAGAAUGUAUUUUUUUUUCAAAAUAACUGCAACUAUGGAGAAAGAAGGAGACAGAAAACUGUCAUCUCCCUAUAAAGACUUCACUCUCAUUGAGCAAGGGAAUCCUUGAUGGUGACAGGGGAAGGGAACAGAUGGUAAUCAUCACUUUCUGUCUAAUGCUGCAACACCAAAAGGAGGUGCCAAAGUAAACAUCUAACAGGAACAUUUCUCUCUACUAUUUUAAUUGCUGCUAACAGAACGGAAAAAGUGCUCAUGUUAUGCUAUGAUUUAAAGGCUGCAUUUCUAAAUGCCAUAUCUGUAGCCAUGACAUUGAAGUAACUACCAUGUAGGCAAGAAGUAAAAGAGACAGAACAGUGUUCCCCACUGACACAGACUUUGGCGUGUCUGUGUAACACUAAACUUUUUAACAGAGAACAAGAUUUUACAUCAGUUUCAUGGUGUUAUGGUUCCAUAAUGCAAACUGAGAAAGCUAAUAAUCAUAGUAACACAGGACUGAAAAUAAGCUCCAGGAGCAUCUAGUCUAACCCUCUGCAGAGAUGCAGGAAUCACUGUUCCUGAGCCAUCCCAGACUGAUGCCAAUUCAGCCUCCAGUAAAAGAGGUUCCACAACUUCCCUAGACAGCUUAUUUCACUGUCCUACUGUCCUUACAGUUACAAUUUUUCCCUGUAACCUGAUUUAAAUCAGUUUGUCAGUUAUUAAAACCCACUACCACAUAUUCCGCCUUCUGUGCCAAGAGAGGACAAUAUUUCUCCACCUUCUUAUGGCAGCCUUUCAACUACUGCUAAAUCCCUCCUUAGUCUCAUCUUCUCUCCACAUACCUAACUCCUUCACACUUCCUCAUACAGCUUGCUUUUCAAUCAUCUUUAUUGCUUGCCUCUGGACCCACUCUGGGAUCUCUGUGCCCUUCUUAAAAUAUGGUACCAAAACUGGAUGCAAUAUUUCAGCCAAGGUGUAAUCAUCAUCAAGUAAAGUGGUACCAUCACCUAAUGUUUUACAUAAUAUUGUCCCAUUAACACCAUCCAAAUCCCCCAUUCUGUAUUAUACAUGUGUUUUAGUUUCCUACAAGUAGCACCUUUAAAUUAUCUCUUCUAUGUCCAGUUCUUCAAUAUAUCAAGAUCUAUUUCAGUUUUAAUGCUAUCCUCCAAAGUGUUUGAUACCCCUCCCCAGUCUUGUGUCAUCCCUACAUUUAACCAACAUACUCUUCUCACUACAUCCAAAUCACUAAUAAAAAAGGUAAACAGUACUGGAAUGAAAGCAGACCACUCUGGAACCCCACUUGAUACCACCUGCCAUUCUGCCAGUGAUCCAUUAAUAAUUAUUCUACACUUGCUGUUGUUCAACCCAUUACAUAUCCACCUAAAGGUAAUUCUACCUAGCCAAUAUUUCUCCAGUUUGUUAGAACAGCAUCUUGAACUGUAUCAAAAGUCUUAGUAAAGUCUGGGUUUAUUAUGUCCAUCAUGGUCUCCUUCUCCACCAAACCAGUUAUCCUGUCAAAGAAAGGAAAUCAAUUUGAUUUGAUUCUAAACAAAUCCCUGCUGGCUGCUAGCAAUCACAACCUCAUCCUACAAAUAUUCAGAGAUUAAAUGUUUUAUACUUUGCUCCAGUAACUUCCAGGUACUGAAGUCAGAUCAACCUGCCUAUAAUUCCCUGGGUCCUCCUUUUAUCUAUCCCGUAAUAUGAAAGGUGCAUAUCAGGGACUGGGAGAACG